CCAGACUCCUACGGGAGGCAGCAGUGGGGAAUAUUGGGCAAUGGGCGCAAGCCUGACCCAGCAAUGCCGCGUGAAGGAAGAAGGCCUUCGGGUUGUAAACUUCUUUUAUCAGGGACGAAGGAUGUGACGGUACCUGAUGAAUAAGCUCCGGCUAACUACGUGCCAGCAGCCGCGGUAAUACGUAGGGAGCAAGCGUUAUCCGGAUUUACUGGGUGUAAAGGGCGCGUAGGCGGGAUGGCAAGUCAGAUGUGAAAUCCAAGGGCUCAACCCUUGAACUGCAUUUGAAACUGUCGUUCUUGAGUACUGGAGAGGUUGACGGAAUUCCUAGUGUAGCGGUGAAAUGCGUAGAUAUUAGGAAGAACACCGGUGGCGAAGGCGACUUUCUGGACUGUAACUGACGUUGAGGCACGAAAGUGUGGGGAGCAAACAGGAUUAGAUACCCUCGUAG
rnacentral:rRNA from 1 species